GACGAACGCUGGCGGCGUGCUUAACACAUGCAAGUCGAGCGAUGAAUUCUUUUCGGAAUUGGAUUAGCGGCGAACCGGUGAGGAACACGUGAAGAACCUGCCCUCCACUUUGGGAUCACACAGGGAAACCUGGGCUAGUACCGACUAUUGAAACAUAAGUGGAAUCACUGCGUUUUGAAAGAAUUUCGGUGGAUGAUGACUUCGCGGCCUAUCAGCUAGUUGGUGAGGUAAUGGCUCACCAAGGCAACGACGGGUAGCCUGCCUGAGAGGGCGACCGGCCACACUGGGACUGAGACACGGCCCAGACUCCUACGGGAGGCAGCAGUGGGGAAUAUUGGGCAAUGGAGGAAACUCUGACCCAGCGACGCCGCGUGCGGGAUGAAGGCCUUCGGGUUGUAAACCGCUUUCAGUAGGGAAGAAGCGAAAGUGACGGUACCUACAAAAGAAGCACCGGCUAACUAUGUGCCAGCAGCCGCCGUAA
rnacentral:rRNA from 1 species